AAUAGAUACCCCGGUAGUCCACGCCCUAAACGAUGGAUGCUAGCUGUUGGUCGUAUCGACCCGAUCAGUAGCGAAGCUAACGCGUUAAGCAUCCCGCCUGUGGAGUACGAGCGCAAGCUUAAAACAUAAAGGAAUUGACGGGGACCCGCACAAGCGGUGGAGUGUGUUGUUUAAUUCGAUGGUAAACGAAGAACCUUACCCAGACUUGACAUCCUUGGAAGGACUACGAAAGUAGACUGUGCCUUUUGGAGCCAAGUGACUGGUGUUGCAUGGCCGUCGUCAGCUCGUGUCGUGAGAUGUUUGGUUAAGUCCAUUAACGAGCGCAACCCUUGUGAAUAGUUGUAUUUUUCUAUUCAGACUGCCCUGGCAACAGGGAGGAAGGAGGGGAUGAUGUCAGGUCAGUAUUACCCUUACGUCUGGGGCUACAAACACGCUACAAUGGCCGGUACAAAGGGACGCCAACCCGCGAGGGGGAGCAAAUCCCAUCAAAGCCGGUCUCAGUUCGGAUUGCAGGCUGAAACUCGCCUGCAUGAAG
rnacentral:rRNA from 1 species